CUGAUGCGGCGACGCCGCGUGAGUGAAGAAGUAUUUCGGUAUGUGAAAGCUCUAUCAGCAGGGAAGAAGAUGACGGUACCUGAGUAAGAAGCCCCGGCUAACUACGUGCCAGCCGCCGCGGUAAUACGUAGGGGGCAAGCGUUAUCCGGAUUUACUGGGUGUAAAGGGAGCGCAGACGGCAGCGUAAGUCUGAAGUGAAAGCCCGCGGCUUAACCGCGGGACUGCUUUGGAAACUACGCGGCUUGAGUGUCGGAGGGGCAGGCGGAAUUCCUGGUGUAGCGGUGAAAUGCGUAGAUAUCAGGAAGAACACCGGUGGCGAAGGCGGCCUGCUGGACGACAACUGACGUUGAGGCUCGAAAGCGUGGGGAGCGAACAGGAUUAGAUACCCUGGUAGUCCACGCGGUAAACGAUGAAUACCAGUGUCGGCGCCAAAGGGAGUCGGUGCCGUCGCAAACGCAGUAAGUAUUCCACCUGGGGAGUACGUGCGCAAGACUGAAACUCAAAGGAAUUGACGGGGACCCGCACAAGCAGUG
rnacentral:rRNA from 1 species